GGUUUAACCUCUUGCAGUUUCCUCUGUCUCUCCAAGGACAGAGGCUCCCUCUGUGACUCAGCCCAAGCAGGUCACCUCAUCCAAUGACAAGCACCUCAUCCUGUAACAAGGCACAGAAGUUCCACUGGGGACUAAUAAAGAGCACUGGUCCAAGGAAAAUGCAGUAACAUGGGCCUGGCAUCCCAGUUUGGCUCAUCUCGCUUGACAGAGUGCUUGAUUCAAAAUACUGUCUGCAUCCUCUACCACAUGAGAAAAUCACUUUCACCUGCUACAGCAUCUUUUACCUCAGAAGGAACAGCCUUCUGUUUAAAAUACAGUAGGAAGACUGGACCCACUGUGUCUUUGGACUUCUUAUGGAAUACACAGACUAUUCUGCAAGUGCUUGGAGCUGGAGAAAUGCCUGUAACAGCUGGAAUCAUAUUUAAUGACAAGCCAAGGAAGGAACACCCUGAUCUAUGAAAUAAAGAUGAGAAACAGCAC
rnacentral:lncRNA from 1 species